rnacentral:lncRNA from 1 species
CUCUGCAGUGUUCAUGGACUCUCUUUUUCUUUGUGUAGGAUGGUGUUUGUUGACCACACUGAGGCGGCUAUAAUUUCAAGUGAUGCUCGAGUAAUACAAAUGAACGUCAUCAUGACUAGGCGGAAAAUUGCUCACCUAAAGCAAUAGCAUAUCGGUGAUGUCCUCGCCCCAACUGACACCUUUGCUUUGCCUUUUUUUCCCUCUCUUCGGAUAUGUGACUGCUGAUACUAUGGCGCUUAAAUAUCUCAUAACUGAAGCAUUUCCGAGGAAAGAUCAUUUGGUAACACAGCUAUAAAUGAUUGAAUUUACUUUUGUGGGUAAAUUUGUCAAGUUACAUACACGUUGUAGCCAUGUGCUUGGGUUCAUGUUGUUAACUGCUCAUAUCAUGCGGUAGCUUACUAGUUACUGUCAUUCCAUCUUUUGUGGCCAG